AACGAACGCUGGCGGCAGGCUUAACACAUGCAAGUCGAACGGGUGUAGCAAUACAUCAGUGGCAGACGGGUGAGUAACACGUGGGAACCUUCCUAGAGGUACGGAACAACGCAGGGAAACUUGUGCUAAUACCGUAUACGCUCUUGCGAGGAAAGAUUUAUCGCCUUUAGACGGGCCCGCGUAGGAUUAGGUAGUUGGUGAGGUAACGGCUCACCAAGCCUACGAUCCUUAGCUGAUCUGAGAGGAUGAUCAGCCACACUGGAACUGAGACACGGUCCAGACUCCUACGGGAGGCAGCAGUGGGGAAUCUUGGACAAUGGGCGCAAGCCUGAUCCAGCCAUGCCGCGUGAGUGAAGAAGGCCUUCGGGUUGUAAAGCUCUUUUGUCAGGGACGAUAAUGACGGUACCUGAAGAAUAAGCCCCGGCAAACUUCGUGCCAGCAGCCGCAGUAA
rnacentral:rRNA from 1 species